GUUGAUUACUCGGGCCCAACCCGGUGAUUCUAGAAAGACGGUUGCAAGAGGGACUCCCAGAGGUUCCGACCACCGCGUGCUCUCCAUUCCCUAACCUUGGUUGGGCCAUUGCACUCACUGGGACUGCCGAGGUCUUUUUCCCUAGUGUGAUGGCAAGUUCCAAAGGGAGACAGAAAGAUAGUUA